AGGAGAUUUGCACCUUCCAAACAAAAGACAUCUGAGAGGAGGGUUGUGGCUGACAGUGGUCUCUGUGGUGCCAGGGCUGCGGUACAAUCCACAGACACAGGCAUGAGUAGCUGUAUGGAUUCACCACUGUGACCAUUUUGAGCACGGAUCAAAAGUCAAAUGGAGUCAUUCAGGAUAAUGAUCCUUCUCAGGGGCAAAAUUCACUGCAGUUACUUAAAGACCAGGUAUGUUACCUCAGCUGCUUCCCUGGGUAAAUUCUUCCAAUGGUGGAAACUCUUUCCUGAAGAAAGAUCACUGCCCUGCUCCUGCUGGCCAUACCAGUUUUGAUGCAGGCCAGGAUGCCAUUCUGGGUCUCCACAUCUGUGAAAUGCUCAGACAACAAGACACGCUUCCCUAACCAGGCCAAGGUACCCAGCCAAUUCCUACAGUAACAGCCCCUGCUAGUAUUUUCAAUACAAUGUCUUUCUGUGUAAGAAUUACUUCUUCUAGUAAAAAGAGAGCAAUGCCUUUAAUGCUAAUUUCUCUUGCACAAAU